rnacentral:rRNA from 1 species
UAAGGAAUAUUGGUCAAUGGACGCAAGUCUGAACCAGCCAUGCCGCGUGAAGGAUGAAGGUCCUCUGGAUUGUGAACUUCUUUUAUCUGGGACGAAAACGGGAUUUUUAUCUCAAUUGACGGUACCAGAGGAAUAAGCACCGGCUAACUCCGUGCCAGCAGCCGCGGUAAUACGGAGGGUGCGAGCGUUAUCCGGAUUUACUGGGUUUAAAGGGUGCGUAGGUGGGCUUAUAAGUCAGUGGUGAAAUCUCCGAGCUUAACUUGGAAACUGCCGUUGAUACUAUAGGUCUUGAAUUAUCUGGAGGUAAGCGGAAUAUGUCAUGUAGCGGUGAAAUGCUUAGAUAUGACAGAGAACACCAAUUGCGAAGGCAGCUUACUACAUAUAAAUUGACGCUGAGGCACGAAAGCGUGGGGAUCAAACA